UUAAGGAAGGCAUCCUAAAUAUUCCUCUUCAUCUUUGAAAGAUUUAGUUAAUAUAAGUUUUUUUUUUUUAAGGAAAAGAAAAUGGGCCAGAGCUCAAAAGGGACGAGCACACCCGUGAUAAGGCUGAGGUGGAUGGUUCAAGUCCAUUUAGGCCCAUCAACUGAAAAAAAGGUCUUUUUUCUAAUUUAGAAACAAAAAGUUCUCCGAAAAAAAGAUAAACAAAGUAGAUUUAAAAAAU
rnacentral:misc_RNA from 1 species